GAUGAACGCUGGCGGCGUGCCUAAUACAUGCAAGUCGAGCGAACGGACGAGAAGCUUGCUUUUCUGAUGGUAGCGGCGGACGGGUGAGUAACACGUGGAUAACCUACCUAUAAGACUGGGAUAACUUCGGGAAGCCGGAGCUAAUACCGGAUAAUAUUUUGAACCGCAUGGUGCAAAAGUGAAAGACGGUCUUGCUGUCACUUAUAGAUGGAUCCGCGCUGCAUUAGCUAGUUGGUAAGGUAACGGCUUACCAAGGCAACGAGGCAUAGCCGACCUGAGAGGGUGAUAGGCCACACGGGAACUGAGACACGGUCCAGACUCCUACGGGAGGCAGCAGUAGGGAAUCUUACGCAAUGGGCGAAAGCCCGACAGAGCAAAGCCGCGUGAGUGAUGAAGGUCUCCGGAUCGUAAAACUCUGUUAUUAGGGAAGAACAUAUGUGUAAGUAACUGUGCACAUCUUGACGGUACCUAAUCAGAAAGCAACGGCUAACUACGUG
rnacentral:rRNA from 1 species